GUACCUUCUAUGUCAGUGCUGGUAAAUAAAACAGCUGAGGCCCGGCAAUCCGCUGUGCCGCAUGAAUCAGCUGAGCUAAAAAAACAAGGAAAUAUAGGACAGGAAAGAGCAGGGGCGGGUGGGCUCACCAGAGCUACCAGUUCGCUAGAACCAGUGCG